CAGUUGUCCAUCAAGUGGAGGCUUUUCUAUUAUUGUUUUUUCUUCACAGUGAGCUAAUAUUGUUGUAAUGAUUUGUGGGUAGAUAUGUGGAAUUCUCAUCAAUACUUUUAGGUUUGGUAUAAUUCUAGGCCUAAACUGGUACUGGAGAAUGUCAAAUGCUAAAUGAUCUCAGUUACUAGUGUUUAAAUGGCUGGAGAAGGCAUUUCAGCCAUUUAUAUUUCAACACUUUCAGCUGUCUGAAGCCGUCAUUAUUAUUACUAUUUUUUGCAACUGUCCAAGUUGACGCAUUUUCUGUUUUAAAAAAAUAGUAAUAAUAAUGACGGCUUCAGA
rnacentral:misc_RNA from 1 species